GUUUGACGUCAUCAUCGCGCGCCAUCACUUCCCUUAGGUGUUUAAGUUCCGCGCGGCCGCGCUGCAACCCGACGGCCUGAUCCCUCGCCGUCCUAGUCGCUGCUCCUUCGAAUCAUGUUCCCAGCAGCUCCUUCUCCGCGGACCCCGGGUCCCGGGUCCCGCAGAGGCCCGCUGGCCGGACUCGGGCCCGGCUCCACGCCCCGGACGGCUAGCAGGAAGGGUCUGCCCUUGGGGUCUGCAGUCAGCUCCCCAGUGCUCUUCUCGCCGGUCGGCCGGCGUAGCUCGCUAAGCUCGCGAGGAACACCAACACGAAUGUUCCCACACCACUCCAUAACUGAGUCUGUGAACUAUGAUGUGAAAACGUUUGGAUCUUCUCUUCCUGUUAAAGUCAUGGAAGCCCUAACAUUGGCUGAAGUUGAUGACCAGCUGACCAUUAACAUAGAUGAAGGUGGAUGGGCUUGUCUGGUGUGCAAAGAGAAGCUCAUUAUUUGGAAGAUUGCUCUGUCACCUAUUACUAAGUUAUCGAUUUGCAAAGAACUUCAGCUGCCACCUAGUGAUUUCCACUGGAGUGCCGACUUAGUGGCUCUUUCUUACUCUGCUCCCUCAGGUGAAGCACAUUCUACUCAGGCUGUUGCUGUCAUGGUUGCCACCGGAGAAGGAUCCAUCCGCUAUUGGCCAAGCCUUGCUGGUGAAGAUACCUACACAGAGACUUUUGUAGAUUCGGGAGGUGAUAAGACUUACAGUUUCCUAACAGCAGUGCAGGGAGGAAGUUUUAUUUUAUCUUCGUCAGGAAGCCAACUAAUUCGGUUGAUACCUGAGAGCUCAGGAAAGAUUCAUCAGCAUAUCCUGCCUCAGGGGCAAGGCAUGCUUUCAGGAAUUGGUCGGAAAGUUUCUUCUCUUUUUGGAAUUUUAUCUCCUAGUAGUGAUCUCACACUUUCAAGUGUUCUUUGGGAUAGAGAGAGAUCAAGCUUUUAUAGCCUGACGAGUUCAAACAUCAGUAAAUGGGAAUUAGAUGAUUCUUCAGAAAAACAUGCAUACAGUUGGGAUAUAAAUAGAGCCCUGAAGGAAAACAUUACCGAUGCUAUUUGGGGAUCUGAAAGUAACUAUGAAGCUAUUAAAGAAGGAGUCAACAUUCGAUAUUUGGACUUGAAGCAAAACUGUGAUGGGCUGGUGAUUUUGGCAGCAGCAUGGCACUCAGCAGACAAUCCAUGUCUCGUCUAUUACUCUCUGAUAACAAUAGAAGAUAAUGGUUGCCAAAUGUCAGAUGCAGUUACUGUAGAAGUCACUCAAUAUAAUCCACCUUUUCAGUCUGAAGACCUGAUUUUGUGUCAGUUGACGGUCCCAAACUUUUCAAACCAGACUGCCUAUCUGUAUAACGAAAGUGCUGUCUAUGUGUGCUCCACGGGAACUGGGAAAUUUUCUCUUCCCCAAGAGAAAAUUGUCUUUAACGCACAAGGAGAUAGUGUUUUAGGUGCUGGUGCCUGUGGUGGUGUUCCUAUCAUUUUUUCUAGAAACAGUGGACUGGUGUCUAUUACUUCAAGGGAAAAUGUGUCUAUAUUGGCAGAAGACCUGGAAGAGUCCUUAGCAUCUUCAGUUGCUGGACCAAACAAUGAGAGUAUGAUUUUUGAGACCACUACAAAGAAUGAAACUAUAGCCCAGGAAGAUAAAAUCAAGUUGCUGAAAGCUGCCUUUCUGCAAUACUGCAGAAAAGAUUUAGGUCAUGCUCAAAUGGUGGUUGAUGAGCUCUUUUCCUCUCACUCUGAUUUGGAUUCUGAUUCUGAACUAGACAGGGCAGUUACCCAAAUCAGUGUAGACCUGAUGGAUGACUACCCAGCAUCUGACCCACGGUGGGCUGAGUCUGUCCCUGAGGAAGCACCUGGGUUCAGCAAUACAUCACUGAUUAUCCUUCACCAGCUAGAAGACAAGAUGAAAGCUCACUCUUUUCUUAUGGACUUCAUUCAUCAAGUUGGCUUAUUUGGACGUCUAGGCAGUUUUCCAGUUAGAGGGACACCGAUGGCCACUCGACUGUUGCUCUGUGAGCAUGCCGAAAAGCUGUCAGCCGCCAUUGUUCUCAAGAACCACCACUCCCGGCUUUCUGACCUCGUCAGCACAGCCAUAUUGAUUGCUUUGAACAAGAGGGAGUAUGAAAUCCCAUCCAACCUGACUCCUGCAGAUGUCUUUUUCAGGGAGGUAUCCCAAGUAGAUACCAUCUGUGAGUGCUUACUGGAGCAUGAAGAGCAAGUCUUGAGGGAUACACCUAUGGAUUCCAUUGAAUGGGCUGAAGUGGUGAUCAAUGUGAACAAUAUUCUCAAGGAUAUGCUGCAGGCUGCUAGUCAUUAUCGCCAAAAUAGAAACUCUUUGUAUAGAAGAGAAGAAUCACUAGAAAAAGAACCUGAAUAUGUUCCAUGGACGGCAACGAGUGGUCCUGGUGGCAUCCGAACGGUAAUAAUACGCCAGCAUGAGAUUGUCCUGAAGGUGGUUUAUCCACAGGCAGACAGCAACCUCCGCAACAUCGUGACCGAGCAGCUGGUAGCCCUGAUCGAUUGCUUCCUGGAUGGUUAUGUUUCUCAGCUGAAGUCUGUGGAUAAAUCCAGUAAUCAGGAAAGAUACGACAAUCUGGAGAUGGAAUACCUACAGAAAAGAUCAGAUCUCUUAUCUCCUCUUCUUACACUAGGCCAGUACCUGUGGGCUGCUUCUCUAGCAGAGAAAUACUGUGACUUUGAUAUAUUGGUACAAAUGUGUGAGCAGACUGACAACCAGAGCCGACUCCAGCGCUACAUGACCCAGUUUGCUGAUCAGAAUUUUUCAGACUUUCUCUUCCGUUGGUAUCUGGAGAAAGGAAAGCGAGGCAAAUUAUUAUCUCAACCCAUUUCUCAGCAUGGACAGUUGGCAAAUUUUUUGCAAGCUCAUGAACAUCUCAGCUGGUUACAUGAAAUUAAUAGUCAAGAAUUAGAAAAGGCUCAUGCAACACUUCUGGGUUUGGCAAAUAUGGAAACUCGUUACUUUGCAAAGAAGAAAACCCUUCUUGGCUUGAGUAAAUUGGCUGCAUUAGCUUCAGACUUUUCAGAGGAUAUACUGCAAGAAAAAAUUGAAGGUGAAAGAAUUUGAGCAAAAAGAUUUACAAAUUGGUCAUGCCAUCAAUUAACUCAUGAUGUGUUUCUGUCAUCAGUUAGCAGGAUCUCUCUUAGAAACAGGACCUGUCUCUAAGAGGAAUGCAUUUAGUUAAUGUCCAUGUGUAGUUACUCAAUUAUAUACUUGGAAUUUUUUUAGAGAAAAGUAAUUUGUAUUUUAAAUAAGAAUUCCUAAAGAAUAGAUUCAAAUGAUUUUGAAUGGAGAGGUCUGAUUAUGUACCCUUAGUGAUGCGUAUUCCAAGGGCAAAAAGAACUACAAAGCAAUCUUGACCUUUGCACAGUGGGUUUGUUGUAGGUAGUGUGGUAUAGGUGCAGUAAUUCUGAACUAUUUUGUGUGUAUUGUAGAUGAAAACAAUUACAUAUAGUACAGCUGACCCUCCAUAUUUUUGGAUUCCACAUCUGCAGAUUCGACCAAACAUCAAAAAUAUUUGGGGAAAAAAAGAAUUAAAAAUAAUUCAACGACAAUUAAAAUUACAACAGAAUUAAACAAAAAAUUAAAACAACAAAAAUAAUGCAAAAUUAAAAUAAUGCAAAUUUUAAAAAGCCAAUACAAUAUAACAGCUAUUUACUUAGCAUUUACAUUGUAUUAGGUAUUAUAAUCUAGAGGUGAUUUAAAGUAUAUGGGAGAAUGUACAUGGGUUAUGUGCAAGUAACUACCGUUUUUAUAUAAGGGAGUUGAGCUUUUUGGUAUUCCCAUGGGUCCUAGAACCAGUUGUCAGCGGAUACUGAGGCCUGAUGGUAUUAUUUUUUAGAAACAAGCAGAGAGGAGAUACAAAUAUAGAAAGACAGUGAAGAAAAACUCUGUAUUACUGAAUUUGAAUUGGAAAUACCAGAUAGAAUCAGAUUUUUAAAAACAAUAUAUUUUCGGCCGGGCACGGUGGUUCACGCCUGUAAUCCCAGCACUUUGGGAUGCCGAGCCAGGCGGAUCACAAAGUCAGGAGAUCGAGACCAUCCUGGCUAACAUGGUGAAACCCCGUCUCCACUAAAAAUACAAAAAAUUAGCCGGGCGUGGUGGUGGGCGCCUGUAGUCCCAGCUACUCGGGAGGCUGAGGCAGGAGAAUGGUGUGAGCCCAGGAGGCAGAGCUUGCAGUGAGCCGAGAUCACGCCACUGCACUCCAGCCUGGGCGACAGAGCGAGACUCCGUCUCAAAAAAAAAAAAAAAAACAGUAUAUUUUCUUGUUUGAGAUGAUGAUAUGCUAAUUACCCUGUGAUCAUUACACAGUGUAUACAUGUAUUGAAGCAUCACAUUGUACCCCAUAAAUAUGUAUAAUUAUUAUGCAUCAAUUAAAAAAAUACAUCAGCUGGGUGUGGUGGCUCACGCCUGUAAUCCCAGCACUCUUUGGGAGGCUGACAUGGGAGGAUUGCUUGAGCCCAGGAGAUCAUCAAGCCAGCCUAGACAACUUAGUGAGAACCUGUCUCUACAAAAAAUUUAAAACUUAGCCAGGUGUGGUGGUGUGUGCCUGUAGUCCCAGCUACUGGGGAGGCUGAGGUGAGAGGAUCACUUGAGCCCAGGAGGUCGAGGUGGCAGUGAGAUGUGAUUGUGCCACUGCCCUCCAGCUGGGGCAACAGAGCAAAACCCUGCCUCAGAAAAAAAAAAAAGUCUCUCUCUAUAUAUAUGUAGAUAGAUAGAUAUAGAUAAUAAAAUGUGUGUGUGUAUAUAUAAAAUUGUGUAUAUAUAUACACACACAGUACAUAUAUAUAUAUAUACAUUUUAUCUAUACACACACAUACAUAUUGCUUGUUUCUUUGCAGUGACACCCCAGUAGCAUGAGUAUACGUGGUUCCAUAUGUUGGUUUCUGACUACCAUUUUCCAGCAAAAGAAGUGAGGGCUUAUUGAAGAAAUCUUGGAGUCUUAUUGGGCCACAAAGCAAGGUUAAUGUAGAGAUAUUAAAAUAAUACAAGAGCCUUGAACAGCUCCCACUGUUCAAGUUUGGGGACUAUUUGAACAUCAAAAGAUUGGUAGUAAAGGGUAUAUUCCACAGUUUAUAAAACAAAAAAAUUCACAAGUCUACAGUGAUUUUCAAAAAGGGAGAGGGUCAGUGAAAUGCUUCUUUACAGGAGAACGCCAACUAAUAAAUGUGGAAAGAAUGACAGAAGUCACUAUUACAACCACAGCGAAUAACUGGUCACCAAAGGAUGCUGAGACCAUUGAGUUGAGGGGCUAGGGAAACAGGAUAUUCCCAUGUUUUUGGAGUAUCAGUAGACAGAUCUAAUAGACCCUGUCAUCAACCACAAAACAAACCACAUUGCAUACUCCUGAAGCAAUGUACUACUAUCACAUGUGUCCUGUUCUUGCCAAAAUGUUCACCGUGACUCUAAUUACAAGAGACCAAUCAAACAUAACCUGCUGGUGGGACAUUGUAUAAUACAGUUGCCCUAGACUCUUCAAAAACUUUACCAACUUGAAAGACAAAGACAGACUGUUUUAGAUGAAAGGAACCUAAGAGCCAUGACACAUAAGCAAAUGCAGGGCAAGAUUCUUGAUCCUGAAUCACCCUCAAAAUAACCAUAACAGUUAAGGUGAAUGUUUUGGAAACAAGUGGGAAAGGUUGAAAAUACUUAAUAUUAGAUGAUAUAACUGUAUUGAUGUUAAAUUAUGUAAGCCUGAUAAUCGUAUUGUGGUUGAGUGUCCUUGUUUUUAGGAGAUACAUGCUGAGUAUUUAGAAAUGAAAUGUCGUGAUGUCUGCAACCUUCAUAUGCUGAAAAAAAAUUACCUAUAUACAUAGAGAAAACAAAAGGGACAGAGUGUCAGCAACAGAUGACUCUAGCUGGAGGAUAUAAAGUGCACAUUGGCAUUUUAAAAUUUUUUCUGUAGAUUUGGACUUUUUCUGUUUUUAAUUUUUAUUUAUUUAUGUAUUUACUUAUUUAUUUAUUUAUUUUCUUUGAGACAGGGUCUCACUCUGUUGCCCAGGCUGGAGCACAGUGGCACAAUCAUGGCUCACUGCAGCCUCGAACUCCUGGACUCAGAGACGGGGUUUCACCAUGUGUAUCCAGGCUGGUCUCAAACUUCUGGGCUCAAGCAGCGUGCCCACCUCGGCCUCCAAAGUGCUGGGAUUAUAGACGUGAGCCACCACACCCAGCCUAGAAUUUUUCAAAAUAAAAAUUGGAGUGGGGAAUCUCAGCUAUGUGGUUUGGAUCAAGUAUAUGCAGAUAUGGAUAUCCGGUUAUGUGGCUUAUCCACAGAGUCCAGCCUAAGAUCUGGUUUUAAAUUAUACUGCUGUCAUUUUUUUCCUUUUGAGGGAGUGGAUAUAGUAGAAAGAAUCGGGAUUUCAAAUAUUUUCUCCAGAACUUACUAGCUUUGUGACCUUGGAUAGUUGAUUUAUGUUCCUUUGCCUCAGUUUGUUCAUCUAUAACAAGGGUAGUUGUAAGGAUUGAGGACACUGUCUUGAGAAAAAUGGCUUGAAUAUAUUAAGUACUCAAUAAAUUAUAGGUAUUAGCCCCUUUUAUUAAAAUUAUUUUAUACUGUUUGGGAUAAUCCUCCUUCAAUCUUUUUAUUUUUUGCAUUAGUAGCACCUGUUCUAAAAAAUGUGUGUUUAUAUUCUAUAGGACUGGCUGAUAGUCUAAGAAGGGAAGCCAUAUUUUAGCCUGGCCACCGGAGAUAGAUCAUGUCAAUCAAAGUAUUUUAACACAAGGCUUUCCUAUUUCUUCUUUCUGCCUGCUUUGCAUUUGAUCAGUUCUUAGCUUUUAUUUCUUAACACAAUGGGAACAUUUGCAGGUCUCAGUGGUUCUACAGACUGUUAGCACAAUGUAUCUAAUCGGAGGGGAUAGGCUUUUUAAAAAUAACUCUUCUGGUAGUUAAAUAAUUCCUCAUGGAAUAUGUGUAAAUUAUAGAAAAAAUACAAUAGGAAAAAUAAGUUGUCUAUAGUCCCACCUCCCCAGAGAUAACCACUGGUACUGUUUUGCAGGUUUCCUCCCAGUCUGUUUUUCUAGGUAUAGAAAUGGACAAAAAUGUUCCAUUUAAUUUUUCCAAAACCAGGAUCGUGGGGAAUGCUGCCAGUAUUUGAACAAAAGUAUCUGUGCUUUGGUCACUGUUUUGCUGUGAAUGCUGUGUUUAUGAGGCUACCUAGCAGUUUUCACCCUUUCCUGCAACUCAGCGCAUUCCCUAGGGUGGAGUCAGGUUAUGGGCUGCAGUCUGGAGAGUUUAUGGCAAACAGAAGCCCCUGUUACCUCAUCCAGUGGAGAUAACCCUUGCUGCUUAGGACCCUGCUGUAUAUUCUUCCAGGUCUUGUUUUUCUUGAUAGACUGAUGGUAGCUUUUACCUCAUUUCCAUUUGCGAAUGAAACUCAGUUGACCCUUGAACAUGAGUUUGAACUGCAUGGGUCCACUUACAUGCGGAUUAUUUUCAAUCAUUAUGUUUCAGAGAUUUUCAACAACAUGAAAACACUCAUAGAUAUAUACCAUGUAUAACCGUGUAGCUUAGAUAUACCAAAAAAAUUAAGAAAAAGGUUAUGAAUAUAUAAAACAUAUGUAGUCUAUUUUAUCAUUUACUACCACAGAACAUGCACAGAUCUGUUAUAAAAAGUUAAAAUUUAUCAACACACAAACACAGACCUCACAUAGCACCAUUCACAGUGGAGGCAAAUGUAAACAAUGUAAAUAUGCAGCACUAAAUCACAAAAUUAACUGUAAUACAUACUGUACUUACUGUAAUAAUUUCACAGCCACCUCCUGUUGCUAUUGUGGGCAAGUGUCUGCUUGCUGAAGUGUUAACAGUAUUCAAUUAAAACCCCAAUUAAAGUGAUGAUCCAGUUAAAAUGAUUCUCAUCAUCUCUGUGUGAGAAGUUUGUCUACACUCCAGUAAAUUGCCUAUUGCAGCAAGAAAUAAAUUUCCUGUUGCAAUAAGAAGUGA